ACUCCUACGGGAGGCAGCAGUGGGGACUUUUCCGCAAUGGGCGAAAGCCUGACGGAGCAACGCCGCGUGAGGGAUGAAGGCCUCUGGGCUGUAAACCUCUUUUCUCAAGGAAGAAGAUCUGACGGUACUUGAGGAAUAAGCCACGGCUAAUUCCGUGCCAGCAGCCGCGGUAAUAC
rnacentral:rRNA from 1 species